UAGGUGUUAGCAAGUCUUGUUUAGGUACAA
rnacentral:piRNA from 1 species